rnacentral:lncRNA from 1 species
AAAUUUCACCUAAUCGUUAUGGACUUAUAUUCACAAGUAGUAAAGGUUGAUGAUCUCAAUCGCAUUAAGUAAAUUCUUGGCAUAAGUUCCAUGCAAUCAUAGUAACAAGUGCUUCGUCAAUGCUUAUGGUUUUCAUAGAACUUAAUGAUUCUUGCUUGUAUCUCUAUUAUGCAAUCAUGUAGGGGACUUGUGGGAAAUGCUUUGGGUUGUCGUAUGCAAUCAUCCAAUUCAAUAACGUUAGGAAAAUCUGAAGGUUAAUUUAAGCGGACCUAAUUAACUUGGGGCGUUGAGAAUUCAUGGGUUAUUGAAAAGCAAUUGGAAAUCGUUUUCAAUGCAAGUAUAACAUGUGUGGAGAUGAACCCCUUAGCUAGCCUUCCAUCCAUUCAUUUAAACCAAAUUCUAUUUUAAAAUCUGCCUAGUUUACAAAGUUUGUUUUGUUUUUAAAUUCGUCCAAAAUCAAUCCCCCUUGACUUUGUUGAGUCAUAGUAGUUAGAAUUCACUUUAGUUUGUGUUUUUAAGUGUCUUAGGUCAAGUUAAAACCAAUUUUCGUCCAAGUUUGUGUCUAGUGUUCAAAACUGCCCAGAUUGUGUUUUUAAGACAGUUUUGAGUGUUUAUUUGCUGUUUUGAGUCUUUUGGUUUGUUUUGGUAUUUUAAAGUUUAGUUUUGCAUUCUUUGAGUCUAGUUUAGUGUUUUAAACUUGUUUUUACGUAUUUGAGUCAGUUUUCAAGAAAGAUGCAAGAAAUUCCGCCUUCGAUCGAACGUCCCUGAGACACCCAAUACUGCCACCUUUAUUGACUGGUGGGCCGUAUAUACUCAAGACUUUUUCUGCGCA